rnacentral:rRNA from 1 species
AUGUCGCAGAAUUUAUCGUUUGAACAAAGUUCACAGAACUCCUCACCAGCCAGAAUUAAAAUUAUCCAGAAACCGUUUUCUGUUGGUGGUGACCGUGGGUGUAGUGUAGGGAGACAUGGGAAAGAGCUCUCGUCAAACAAAAUAAAGUGUUGCAGGUUUUCCUUUUACCGGAUAGCCUGUAGUAGUUUCCAGACAGACCGACAGUCAGCUAACAUCAUAUACAACAAAUGUGCACAUAAUAUAGUAUGCUUUCACAUAUUUCAAUUUAGUUUACAAUCAACGAGGAUCAAGGGAGGGCCACAGGAAGAUAUAGCAGAAAGGGUUUAUACAAAAAACCAAGUCAGAGACGAGAAUUCUCCAGGGAAAUGGCUCCUACUAGACCGCCUCUUCAACGCUUCCUCAGAUUCCUAA